GAUCCUGCUCAGGACGAACGCUGGCGGCGCGCCUAACACAUGCAAGUCGAACGAGAGAGAAGGAGCUUGCUUCUUCGAUCGAGUGGCGAACGGGUGAGUAACGCGUGAGGAACCUGCCUCAAAGAGGGGGACAACAGUUGGAAACGACUGCUAAUACCGCAUAAGCCCACGGGUCGGCAUCGAUCUGAGGGAAAAGGAGCGAUCCGCUUUGAGAUGGCCUCGCGUCCGAUUAGCUAGUUGG
rnacentral:rRNA from 1 species